AUAGAUUAUAUAUUUAUAUGAUUGGCAUAUGCUUGAUUAUAAUUAAGUGCCGCUUCCACUUAUAGACAUAAAAUAACAAAUACUCUUUGCAUUUCCCCUAACUAAUCUAACUAUAGCGACAUAGAAAACAAACCGAGUGGAAAAGAAAAUUGCAAACAGCAAGGCUCGAGAGAAUUAAUCAUGGCGACGAGAACAAGGGCACACGAACACUAGAAACGUACAGCAUCAUGACUGACACACACAUCUCACGGUGCAUGAAUGUACACAUCGACGCAUUUGGCGGACAGCCUCGUGUGACCUGUAAACAACGUACGCUAUCACUUGGCGCGGCC
rnacentral:lncRNA from 1 species